rnacentral:lncRNA from 1 species
UACACAUUCAAGUUUUGAAAUCGACAAUUGUCAUCGUCAUUGGAAUGCAACUGGAAGACACAUUCUGAGGACACACAGGUUCAACUCAGUCCGGCAGUGGGCGGAGCUUUAAAGCGAUAUCUGUAUAGUAUACAGAUGCAGCAUAGCGAUAUCUGUAUGGCUGUAUCUGUAUAGUAGGACACCCAAUUGCAGGAUAAAAAGAAAUAAUCUCUGAGACACACAUGCCGCAAAUGUUUAAUGACAAAAAAAUAGAUUAUCACGUAGUUGCGUAAAAAAAAGCUUUUU